GCUCCUGAGGUAGCCCGCGAAGCCUCCACAGGGCAGUGGGAGCCUUCAUCCCACUGCCCUGCGGAGGCUUCGCGGGCUACCCAGAGCUGC